rnacentral:tRNA from 3 species
GCCGAGAUAGUCUAGCCUGGUAAGGCGCGGGACUGGAAAUCCCGUGAGGGUUCACCUCGCCUGGGUUCAAAUCCCAGUCUCGGCG